rnacentral:rRNA from 1 species
CUGUUUACUAAAAACACAGGACUCUGCUAAGUCGCAAGACGAUGUAUAGGGUCUGACGCCUGCCCGGUGCUGGAAGGUUAAGGGGAUUUGUCAGCGCAAGCGAAGCAUUGAACCGAAGCCCCAGUAAACGGCGGCCGUAACUAUAAAAUUGACCAUUGUAGUUACGUAAAUAAAUAUGGCUAUAUGCUGGAAAAUCCGAGAAUCCUCCGGUACUAAUCACAAAAAAGUGUGUGACAGUGACAAUCCGUGAGGUGCGGACAAUCAGCAGGAAAGACUUUUUUGA